rnacentral:rRNA from 1 species
UAUUUUGUUUCUUUAAAGAAAAUUAUUAUAAGAAAUUACAUCUAUGGAAGUAAAAAAAUUAAGAAGUUAAUACUUUUUACCUUUUGUAUAUUGGUUUCACUAUAAAUAUAUUAGAUAAUAUUUCCCGAAUUGAGGAGAUCUAUUUAUUAACCUCUUUUAGGAGAAUCUCGGUUAUGUUGAAAUAUGGCUGUUAGAUUAGUAAAUAGGAGCGAAAAACUUUCAAUUCUCAGGAUAUCUGGUAGCCUCAAAAAAGCAUUUAGUGCUGAAAAGUUAGAUACAGAGUGAUGAGGUUUUGUAUAAAUAGAAUCUGGAACGAACAAUAUAUUUUAGAGUUAAUCCUAUAGAAAUUUUUUAUCAAAAAUAUUUAUUUUCUAAGAUAUCUAUAAACUAUGAGGCUUUUUCAUACAACUUUAUGAAACUCAUAAUGUGUAAAUAAGUAGUAAUAAAACAAAUUAUAUAGUUUUUUAUAUUUGAAAGAAAGUUGACUAUUGUUAUUUUUUUAAUUAGUUAAAAGGAAUUCGGCAAAUAUUGAUUUCGACUGUUUAACAAAAACAUAGCCUAAAGAUAUAUAUUUUAGGUUUGACCUGCCCAGUGUGUAUAAUAAAUGGCCGCGGUACUUUGACCGUGCUAAGGUAGCGCAAUCAAUUGGUUUUUAAUUGGAGCCAGGUAUGAAUGGAGUUACGGAAUCUUUCUGUCUCUUGACUAAUUUAUCGAAGUUACUAUGUAGGUGAAAAAGCCUACGAGAGGAAAAAAGACGAGAAGACCCUUAGAGUUUUUCUAAAAUUGAAUAAAGUAUUCAAAGAAGUUUUGUUGGGGCAACAAAGGAACAUGAAAAUUUCCUUAUUUAAAUUUACCGAUUAUUUUAAAUUUGAAUAAACUACCUUAGGGAUAACAGCAUAAUUUUAUAAGUAAGUUUGUGACCUCGAUGUUGGACUGGGAAACUGAAAGGCUAGCCGCCUUUCAGGUGAGUUCUGUUCGAACUAUUAUUCCCACAUGAUCUGAGUUCAGACCGGCGUAAGCCAGGUCAGAUUCUAUCUUUUUAUUUUAAGGGCUUAGUACGAAAGGACCAGUUCUU